UGCCAGCCUCCGCUGUACUCCUAAUGGACCUAUCGUAGUUCGUAAUUACUGGGCUUAAAGAGUUCGUAGGUGGUUGAAAAAGUUGGUGGUGAAAUCCCAGAGCUUAACUCUGGAACUGCCAUCAAAACUUUUCAGCUAGAGUUUGAUAGAGGAAAGCAGAAUUUCUAGUGUAGAGGUGAAAUUCGUAGAUAUUAGAAAGAAUACCAAUUGCGAAGGCAGCUUUCUGGAUCAUUACUGACACUGAGGAACGAAAGCAUGGGUAGCGAAGAGGAUUAGAUA
rnacentral:rRNA from 1 species